rnacentral:lncRNA from 1 species
CACGAGCACCACUAAACGAGCGCUGAGCCGCGCGGGGCCAGAAGCUGGACCGGCGCGCACACCUGCCUUGCCUGUCACCUGGAGCCUCUGAGACCCGCCCACAGCCGUCUGGGCUGUGUCCACCGUGAGAACCAGAGCUUUGUUCUCCCCAGGAUCCCGGAGACGCGCCAUUGUUACUUCGGGACACCUGGGGGCCGCGUAAGGACAGGUAGCUAGCUUGUAAAGCUAAGCGGGACAACGUCAUGGUCAUCAGCGGUCACACAGUGCCCUCUGGUGGCUCCGUGAGAAAACGACACGCAGGCUCCAGGACACCAUGAUUGAGCUCAGGACCUUGUAUUCGAGAGACAAGCGCGGUGCCACUGAGCUAAAUCCCUGGCCCUUCCACAAUGUUACCUCAAUAAAUUUUGGAAUUUGAAAUGGACAAAGUAUUUGAAAGAAGA